UACGUAGGGUCCGAGCGUUGUCCGGAAUUAUUGGGCGUAAAGGGCUCGUAGGCGGUCUGUCGCGUCGGGAGUGAAAUUUUACAGCUUAACUGUGAACGUGCUUUCGAUACGGGCAGACUGGAGGUAUGCAGGGGAGAACGGAAUUCCUGGUGUAGCGGUGAAAUGCGCAGAUAUCAGGAGGAACACCGGUGGCGAAGGCGGAUCUCUGGGCCAUUACUGACGCUGAGGAGCGAAAGCGUGGGGAGCGAACAGG
rnacentral:rRNA from 1 species